GGAAGGGGAUCAGUCCCGGUGGACUGUCUGGUCUUCAAAACCAGUGAGGGGCGUUCGACGUGCCUGGUGGGUUCGACUCCCACCCCCUUCCGCCA
rnacentral:tRNA from 1 species